UACGUAGGGGGCGAGCGUUGUCCGGAUUUAUUGGGCGUAAAGAGCGUGUAGGCGGCCAGGUAGGUCUGCUGUGAAAACUCGAGGCUCAACCUCGAGACGUCGGCGGAAACCAUCUGGCUAGAGUCCGGAAGAGGCGAGUGGAAUUCCUGGUGUAGCGGUGGAAUGCGCAGAUAUCAGGAGGAACACCGGUGGCGAAGGCGGAUCUCUGGGCCUUACCUGACGCUGAGGCGCGAAAGCCAGGGGAGCAAACGGG
rnacentral:rRNA from 1 species